rnacentral:lncRNA from 1 species
GUCAACCAGGUGUUUUCUGGAAAAUUCCAGAAAUAAGAAAUUCAAAAGUAUUAAAUAACUUUUGUGAUAGCAUGUCAUUACAAAUGUUAUGUUUCGCCAUCGUUUAUCAUAAAGCCCAUCAUGCCCCUGACUCUGGAAGAGAACUGGGUAGGUAUCUUGGAGCUUAUCCCCUGGUUUGCGUUCAUCUAAUAUUUUUCCUAACUGCAUUAGACUGUGGGGCAGACAGGAUCUAUUUGACUGAUUUUUUGCCUUUUGCUCCAGGCAUGGCCCUGCUGCUGAUUCUGCUUUUAUUGACCAUCAUGGAUUAUUUUAUGUUAAUUUUGAUUUUUUAAUAAUAUUGUAUUCAAACACUAUGGAUGUCAAGGACUGAAAUUCCUGGCCCCCAUUCCCCUGGCUCCUAGUAGUUUCUUGCUCUCACCCAAAUCCUGGGACUGCACAUGGAGUCAGUCUGUAUUCAAGGGGCUCCACCUGUUGAGCUACAGACACUGGAGGAGUUGACAGUCCCUUCCUCUCAUCACAUUGGGGGACUUUGCAGUUGGGUUUCUCUCCUACUUCCCUCUUUUGAUUCUCUCCUACUUCCCCCUUUCUUCAAAUGCAAAACCUCUGGCAGUGAGUACAAAGGAGGCCUGUCCCCGUGCAGAGCAAAGUAGCCCUGAGGCUGCAGCUCAGGCUGUGGGGACCCCCAGGAUGAAAGCUGAGUGAUUCCUCAGGAGGCCACAGACACACUGGUUGGUGGGGUGAAAGGAAGAGGGCUCAGACCAGGAGCCGUGCAGACGGCUGGGACAUGCUGUUCUUCCGUGUUUCUGCAAAAAUGUUCUGUUUUAAGUCCUUCUCCCCCAGGGUUCCACCGUGAUGGCAACAAUAAAAGAGGAAUUAAAAUCUGGAAGCCAAGUGUGCCUGCCUGUCAAGGGGGCCCCGAGUGGGAAAGGGGUGGUGUGUGGUCACAGGCGUCCAUAGCCCUCCUGGAGGCUGCCUUCCUUCCGAGUGGGGAACUGGAGAAAGGGAUCGCACAGCCGCAUGCAUGCCUGCCUGGGGGAAAGCGCAGGGGUGAUUUCCAGAGACUUCCAGAAGAUGCAAGAAGCUGGUGGCCUGCAGACCACAGGACGCGACUCUGCAGCCUGCUGUACCCCAGAACCCGGACAGCCUCUGCUCAGAGCCUCUCCUUCUCCAGCUCCUCCCUCAGCAGCACCCCCCACCCCUCUCUUCCUCCUCUCUUCUGGAUGAUUCCCUUCUUUCCUGCCGGGAGUGGCCCCUGGUCAUUGCUAAAGCAAAUCACAUGAGCUCCAUCAAUGAAUCCUCUUGCAGUUAUUCCAGAGGCCCACACAGGGCCUGGUACCUGAGCAGGUACCUGGUACCUGGUACCCCAAACUCAGGGCCUCGCUGGGAAGCAAGAGAGAGAGGGCAGCCUGUGUGUCCACUAGCAAUGGCCAACCGGCCUCAGAAUAAGGUUACCUCUUGAACAGGGUGGGGAACAGUCAGCUUUCUAUAACUCACACAUAGUAUCUCAGUGUGGUUGGCACCAGCCCUGGGUUCCAGGGCUGUCCCCUUAACUAUGGUCU